CGGCGUUCGCACAGAUGCCAGCAAGAGAAAAAGAAGAGAGUCAAGCGGCACACAACAAAUAUGUAGCGAGCAAACACACACACACACACGUACGCGCACGCUCUAUGCGACAGCGUACCUUCACUUCUGGAUUCUUGCAGAACAUCCUCGUUUUGUGCGUGUGCGUGUGCGUGUGCGUGUGCGCGUGCGUGUCGGUGCGUUGUCUCUUUGGUCUCUUGUCUCCCUCUCUCCUCAUUUCUUUUUCUCUUCUGAACGCUUCCGUACUCAUGGAGGUGCAUACACAGCUAGAACUGGGGUGUAUAUCCUUCCGGUUCGGCUUCUUUCCUCACAUCACCCGACUUUGGUAUUCUUUCGAUAUCAGCCAUGUUGCCUGCACGGCAACGCUGGCCGACGUGGACCGCAGAGACGAUACGGGAAAAGAGGCGGGGUGAGUCCAUCUUUCCGUCCCCAACAGCAAGGAUCUGGGAGCUCCUUCUCCCGUGCGACGGCUCAGCGCACAGGAUCAAGUGAAGCGGGCGCUCAUGCAUGCGCUGCAAAUCCUCCAGAAGUCCCAACCCCUUCUUUCGAUCGUGUCACUACUCGAAACGCACCCUCCUAACGUUACGCUGCGUGAGGGAUCGGGCAGAGCGAUACGCCGGGGAGCAGCUGCUGGUGGCGCGUCACCUCGGGAUCGAGUCGUUGGCCCGCCCCCUUUCAUGGACGAGGCGUGAGCCCCUACGGUCGCCGGGGACACAAGAAGAGUGCACCAAACCUGUUGCGUGCAACUGCAGCAGUGGAACCGGCAAAGCCAACAACAAAAAAAAAAGCGUGCAGGAGCUUCUGAGCCUCGCCGACGAAUGCCUCCGCGCCCCUUUCCGCUGCAGACGCCGCCACGUUAACGCCUGCGGACGUCUCGGAGCCCUCCGCAACAGAACUCAGAGUGGCGGGCUCCGCCUUCACGGUGCUCGAUGAGAAACAUGGGUGUCUACCGAGGCAGCUCCUUCUCUGGCCCGACGAAGAAGUGGAUGGCGUCUGAGGGUCGGCGGCGCCGGACUCGAUCUAAACGCCAUCUCAUGGGAACGUGCCCCGCAUGGGAUCAGGACGGGGGGGUCACGGACCUUACAGGCUUCUCCUUUCCAGGUGCCUAUCCCAGUGGAGUUGAGACCGCUUUUCUCUUUGCAGGCCGACACCGGUCGGAGCUUGCAGCUCCGAUGCCCUACCGACGGGUUCGAGUGUGAGGUCUGGAAUUAGGCAGGUGGCUACAGGCUCGGCUGCUGGGCACCCCAUUCUACGCGUCUUUGCCCCAACCCGAAGGUGAAAGGUCGACGUGCGGAUCGUCCAGAUCGAGGCAGCGGGGCCAUCUCAAGCGGUAAAGAGCGUAGCGAAUGCCACCAGAGAGCUCUCCGUCACCCCUCGAUGGGGCGGGGGAGGGAGAUCACGUCUCACGCAUAUGCACGUCUGCUGCAGUCAGUUUUGGCCGCAAGGCGAAAUCCGUUUGUCGGGGAGAAGUAUCGGCUACAAAACUGCGAAGCGGCCCGUCACAGAGCACGACGAUGGUGCGGCUCGAACGCCUCGUCAGAGGUUUAUGGCUUGCUGUGCGUGUCUGGAUGAUUCCAGCUCAUGCGUGUUGGUGGUCGCUCAAGGCAGUACGACGGCUCUUCUCCAAAUGUUCACGAGGCCUCCUCGAGGGUGACGCACAAGCAGACCGACCGGCAAGUGCGCAAAAAAAAAGAACCUGGAUGAAGAGUGCACGCUCGUCUGCCCAAAUAACAAGCCGCAAAAGAUUUAGUCGUUACCCAGCUCGGUUGCUAUGCUCGACCUCUAACACUUCUGCCAGGCUGGAGGACUGAGAAGCCGUGUGUGAGUGCGUAUGCUAAUCAACGCAUCAAACAAAACUGCUGUGAUUGGAUCGCGCUGGAGGAGGGCGUCUACCCCUGUCGACAGCAUCAACGCGGCAGAGCUGCGCGCCGUCGCAUGAGCUUUCGAAUCCUUAUCCUCUCUCUCUUUUUGCGGGGGCCGUGGCCCACCAACGUGUGGUUGGCUACUCCGCACUUUGUAAGGGUCGUGCUCGGUGUCGUUCUACCAACACCGAGGCGGAACGCAGCAUGG
rnacentral:misc_RNA from 1 species